GCUCCCCUUCGUUCACCUCGCGUACGCGACAACUAGGCUGACCGCCGCCGCCCUACGCUCAACUGCCCACCUGCCCUGGUCUUCGACUCUUCGUCGUGCGCUUUGCCGGCGGCGAGCACCCAUCACACCAGGUAUGUCCGCCAGGUAUGUCCGCCCCUGCUCCUUCCUUCAUGGUCUGCAAAAUUGAGCACCUGAACCCUAACUUAAUAUAUCUGUAUUCGGAUCUGAUAUAGUGUACUUAUAAGGAUGUGUUUUGUUUGGCUUUUGCUCGCUAAAACACAAAAGUCAAACCAAAGGUGAACCAGGAAGCGGCUUUUUCGAAAAGCCGGCUUUCCCACAUUGCAAAAAUUAAAAUCAUCAUUAGACAACUGCAGAAGCUCGUGGUAAACUACUGCGACUGGGGAGGGAGCAGCAGGGGCAUCAGGUAUGAUGAUAUAGUUUGGUUCCUCUCUUCGGUAGUGGUACCAUUAGACCAUAGUUUUUCGGUAUGAUUUCCUUGGUUCUGUUGCGAAAAGCCGAAAAUUAGUUGAGAUCCUGCUGGUACAUGUUCUUCAAUAGUCGGAUGGUUGGUCGACUCUUCCCAGCCAUGGAUUUGUCGUUGCAGAUGAGUGCAGUGUAUGUCGUUACAAUUUGGAAGUUGGAACUGAAGACAACUAUGCUAUUGCCUCUAGCUUCUCUAGGGCAUUCCUGCAUGGAAAUUUCAUUUCUACUAGACAGAAAUGUGUUAUGGGACUAGCGGGUACUGAUGUCUGGGAAGCCCAUUUAGUCGUUAGUUCAAUUACAUGCUAUUUAUUGCAACAAUAGAAUCAGGCACUUUAUGCCCAUGUUUUCUGUAAACGUGUUAUAUAGAAAAGUUAUAGAUAACUCCUUUAUCUUGCUGGUGCUAAAAUUUCAUGACCAUAGGUCUAGUAGUUUAAAAGAUAUGAUUCUCUUAAGUUCAGUUUCAGAAUCUAUCCAAAUUCUGUACAGGUUUCGAAAAUUGGAUUGUUUGGCUAAGUUAAAUUGAGAAUCAGUCAUUAGUAAUUAUAGGAGAAUUGUAUUACUUUCCUUAAGCUUUCCAAAAAAUUUUGGGUCACCCUUUUUGGUGAUCUAUAAAUUAAGUUACAACUGUUUGAGUUAGGAUUUCUGAAUCUGUCCCAAUUUGGACAGCAUAGCCUUUCUCAUGUUUUCUGACCUUGAUAUAUAUUAAAUUAACCUGGGAUGUUCAUAAAUGAAUUGUAGAUAAUUCUAUUAGCUUUCUAAAAAGUCUAGGAUCACCUGAUUUGGAUGACUGAAACUCCAGUUAUGAAUUUUUGAAGUAAGUAGUCGAAUUAUGUCCAAAUCUGGACAUAAUUUACGUUUAGCAUUGUUUGACCAUCCUAAGUGUCAAGUAUCACUGUGAUGAUAAUACAAAAGUUGUAGAGGACUUUAUAAGCUUUCCAAAAAGUCUUAGUUUACUAUUUUUGGAUGAAGAUUGUGUAAGUUAUGAAUAAAACAACUAGCUACUGUUCUGCUGUCCAAAAUCAGCAAGGAUUAAAAUGAUUACUUGCAGUUUCUUUUGUAAGGAUACCUAUAUUUGGUUAGUUCUUGAUUGGUUGAUUGGUAGUCUUGUGGUUUUAAGUGUUACGUAAGUACCUUGUAAUUUUGUAAUAAACUUUAGGUUAUAAAUGCCUGUGUUUCAUAAAAGUUGAGUAUGAUUAACUCCAAGUGUGUGAUUGUUAUGGGGUCAAAGUUAGCUAGUGUUUGCUCAUAGGAAUAGUGAUGCUUUGCCUGAAGUGUUUUGUCCUCUUCAGUUAGUUUAUCUAUUUGGUGUUAUUUAUGUUUGUUCUCAUUCAUAUGCAUGAUGCAUAUCAUAUAGGUACGCUAAUUAUCGAGAUGCGAUGGCCAGGGUCUAGGUUGACCCCUAGUGGUGCAAAGGAUGGCCUACUUCGAGAGGCGAUGUCGGCGGACCAAUCUAGAAGAUUGAUGAUCUCUACAUAAACACAAGAUUACAUUGAUUCAACUCUGAUCUGGUGUAUGAAAUAUUGAUUGAUACUCAUUUAUAUUAUUUUUUUAUUAUAUUAUUAUUAAAUAUAUAUGUCUGUGUAUUUCUCUUUCAAAUUAUUAUAAUGUGGAAUCUCAAAAAUGAAUAUAAAUUGAAGAAUAUAUAGUAAUUUAAG
rnacentral:lncRNA from 7 species